UCCCGUACCUACCCAUAGAUAUAUCUAUAUACAUAUAAAACACUGAAAGGCAGUGCCGCGUGUUUUUAUUUGUCCUUGCAAAUGGGAUAGAUUUGCCUGGCUGCUCUCUCCGGUCUUGGGACCGCGACUCUCUCACGGGCAACGCCUCCUCUCAGGAUAUUUUAAAAUCGUUAUAAAUGUGUGGAUUUCCUCCUAUCUUCGUGGGAAAGCAGUGUGUAAAUCCAAACAGAUUUUUAUCCGACUACCUCAGCCGGUGUAAUACUAUUAAAACAUUUUUCGGCCGCAGCAUGGCCAACUAUUUUCAAAUUAUCCAAGUGUCUCUUAUUACAAAUACUGAAUCUGAUAAAAUCUAAUAAGAUGCUGAGCUCAGGCGCUGAUCCUGUUCUGUGUGAGGGAUUCAGCCACAGGGAGGCGCAAAGUAAAGAAGAAAUUUCAAGAUUUGACUGCUCCUAAAUUGUGUUUUUCCAAUUGUGACGGCAGAUGCAUUGGUGUAUUUGGAUAAAACACAGCAAGCACAGUAACGUAUGACCAAUCUUGGCUUUUUUCCAGCUACCAAGGCAAAAAAAAAAAAAAAAAAAAAGGAUAGUAAGACUAAAGGAUCGCCUGGCACAUUUCUACUGAGUUUAAUACUGUGCUGGCUCCAGAGGCUGUUGGAUUAGCUGUGCAUCUCAAACUUGUUCCUGUAAGGAGCUGGGAUUUUCUGUCCUGCUGGUUUGAGAGGUUUUUCCAACAUACCCUUUUCAAUCUCCUCCUUCAAGUCACCUCCAUGGAACUGCUAUUGUUGUAGGAAGGAAGGCUGAUAGUUCUUUUUGGAGGUUUUCACAUGUUCUGGAUAGAGCUGUUCUGUGGCUCUGAAGGCUGCUGUGAAGUAUCCUAAAUUUUCAUGGCCUGAGGGAGAUGAGACCUGCUUUGACUUUAAAUAUGUAUCCACUCUCCAAAAUGACCUGAUAAAGGUAUUGAUCACUUACAUUCUGUGCCCUAACCCUGCACAUUUAUCCUGCACUGAUUGAAUGUGAGACAACAAGAACAUUCUGCCAUUGUUUCCUUCCUUCAUUUGCAGGAGAAGUGUUAACACAUUCUCAUAACACACCCUCACAAUUUUUCCAUGCAAAUAAUCAAGCACGAUAAACAUCAGCAGAGGGCACUAUUGAGGUAUAAAUAGAAUAAUAAUAAAUUGAAAUAAUAAUAAAAAAAAGGUGUUGCCAUGUGUUUUCAGUUUUCAUUCAGAAAAUCACAGUAUAAUUUACAAUGAAAGGGGCCCUGAAGGUCAUCAGGUCAAUCCCUGCCUCAGAGAGCCAAAUUGAAACUUAGAUACAAUUACUGUGGCCAUGGUAAUGUGUCUACAUUUUUGGAUAAUCUGUAACAACCUGCAAUCAGAUUAGUUUUUUCUCCAAACCAUUUUUGUAUUUAGUUGUGAGACUGGAUGCAAAAAAUGCCCAGAGCUGA